GACGAACGCUGGCGGCGUGCCUAAUACAUGCAAGUAGAACGCUGAAGGAGGAGCUUGCUUCUCCGGAUGAGUUGCGAACGGGUGAGUAACGCGUAGGUAACCUGCCUGGUAGGGGGGGAUAACUAUUGGAAACGAUAGCUAAUACCGCAUAAGAGUAGAUGUUGCAUGACAUUUGCUUAAAAGGUGCAAUUGCAUCACUACCAGAUGGACCUGCGUUGUAUUAGCUAGUUGGUGGGGUAACGGCUCACCAAGGCGACGAUACAUAGCCGACCUGAGAGGGUGAUCGGCCACACUGGGACUGAGACACGGCCCAGACUCCUACGGGAGGCAGCAGUAGGGAAUCUUCGGCAAUGGACGGAAGUCUGACCGAGCAACGCCGCGUGAGUGAAGAAGGUUUUCGGAUCGUAAAGCUCUGUUGUAAGAGAAGAACGAGUGUGAGAGUGGAAAGUUCACACUGUGACGGUAUCUUACCAGAAAGGGACGGCUAACUACGUGCCAGCAGCCGCGGUAAUACGUAGGUCCCGAGCGUUGUCCGGAUUUAUUGGGCAUAAAGCGAGCGCAGGCGGUUAGAUAACUCUGAAGUUAAAGGCUGUGGCUUAACCAUAGUACGCUUUGGAAACUGUUUAACUUGAGUGCAAGAGGGGAGAGCGGAAUUCCAUGUGUAGCGGAGAAAUGCGUACAUAUAUGGAGGAACCCCGGUGGCGAAAGCGGCUUCUCUUGCUUGUAACUGACGCUGAGGCUCGAAACCGCGCGAGCGAUCCCCUGGCUACGCUGUUAUCCAACGGGGGAAUUC
rnacentral:rRNA from 1 species